GGCGGUGUGAUGGCAGCAUUAAUACCACAAAGUUGAUUAUUUUCCGAGCAUGUCCCAAAGUCUCCUAUUAAUUGGCACAGCCAUUUUACAAACAGUUACAAAUAUUCAUUUAUUAAUGAGUGAAUGGCAAGUGUAAAAGAGUUCACUAGAAAAUCACACAUUUACACCUAGAACAGAGGAGAGUUUUUACUGUCACACCAAUGGUUUUUACUCUCGCAUGAACGGGAGCGGGGAGGGUUUUUACUCUCGCACGGACCGGAACGAGGAGGUUUUUUACUCUCGCACGGACUGUAGCGGGCAGGGUUUUUACUCUCGCACGGACUGUAGCGGGCAGGGUUUUUACUCUCGCACGGACGGGAGCGGGGGGGGUUUUUACUCUCGCACGGACGGGAGCGGGGAGGGUUUUUACUCUCCCACGGACGGGAGCGGGGAGGGUUGUUUUUGUUUUUACUCUCGCAUGGACGGGAGCGGGGAG
ensembl:lncRNA